AUUGAACGCUGGCGGCAGGCCUAACACAUGCAAGUCGAGCGGAGCGGCGGACGGGUGAGUAAUGCCUAGGAAUCUGCCUGGUAGUGGGGGAUAACGUCCGGAAACGGGCGCUAAUACCGCAUACUAUCAGAUGAGCCUAGGUCGGAUUAGCUAGUUGGUGGGGUAAAGGCCUACCAAGGCGAGGAUCCGUAACAGGUCUGCGAGGAUGAUCAGUCACACGGGAACGGAGACACGGGCCAGACUCCUACGGGAGGCAGCAGGGGGGAAGAUUGGACAAUGGGGGAAAGCCUGAUCCAGCCAUGCCGCGUGUGUGAAGAAGGGCUGCGGAUGGUAAAGCACUGUAAGUUGGGAAGCGUUACCAACAGAAUAAGCACCGGCUAACUACGUGCCAGCAGCCGCGGUAAUUC
rnacentral:rRNA from 1 species